rnacentral:lncRNA from 1 species
AAACCUCUAGGGACCCAGGAGCUGGUGCCGGGGCUGCGGUGCCAGGAGAAUGGGCAGGAACUGUCUCCCAUUGCCCUGGAGCCAGGCCCUGAGCCCCACCGGGCUAAGCAGGAGGCCCGGAACCAGAAGCGGGCCCAGGGCCGUGGUGAGGUUGAGGCUGAUGAACAGCUUUGCAUACCACCGCUGAACUCCCAAACCUGCCUCCUGGGCUCAGAGGAGAAUUUAGCCCCUUUGGCAGGAGAGAAAGCAGUGCCUCCCGGGAAUGACCCAGUCUCUCCAGCCAUGGUCCGGAGCAGAAACCCUGGGAAAGAUGACUGUGCCAAGGAGGAGAUGGCAGUGGCAGCAGAUGCUGCAACCUUG